AGAGUUUGAUUAUGGCUCAGGAUGAACGCUGGCGGCGUGCCUAACACAUGCAAGUCGAGCGAAGUUAUUUCAAGAAGCCUUCGGGUGGAAUGGAUUUAACUUAGCGGCGGACGGGUGAGUAACGCGUGGGCAACCUACCCUGUACAGGGGAAUAACAAUGGGAAACCAUUGCUAAUACCCCAUAAUACCUUUUAGGGGCAUCCCUUAAAGGUCAAAGAAUUUCGGUAUAGGAUGGGCCCGCGUCGCAUUAGCUAGUUGGUAAGGUAAUGGCUUACCAAGGCGACGAUGCGUAGCCGGCCUGAGAGGGUGAACGGCCACACUGGAACUGAGACACGGUCCAGACUCCUACGGGAGGCAGCAGUGAGGAAUAUUGCACAAUGGGGGGAAAAACCCCCUGAUGCAGCAACGCCGCGUGAGCGAUGAAGGCUUUCGGGUCGUAAAGCUCUGUCCUAAGGGAAGAUAAUGACGGUACCUUAGGAGGAAGCCCCGGCUAACUACGUGCCAGCCGCCGC
rnacentral:rRNA from 1 species